rnacentral:rRNA from 1 species
UCAGAGGCGAUGAAGGACGUGCUAAUCUGCGAAAAGCGUCGGUAAGGUGAUAUGAACCGUUAUAACCGGCGAUGUCCGAAUGGGGAAACCCAGUGUGAUUCGUCACACUAUCGUUAACUGAAUACAUAGGUUAACGAGGCGAACCGGGGGAACUGAAACAUCUAAGUACCCCGAGGAAAAGAAAUCAACCGAGAUUCCCCCAGUAGCGGCGAGCGAACGGGGAGCAGCCCAGAGUCUGAAUCAGCUUGUGUGUUAGUGGAACGGUCUGGAAAGUCCGACGGUACAGGGUGAUAGUCCCGUACACCAAAAUGCACAGGCUGUGAACUCGAAGAGUAGGGCGGGACACGUGGUAUCCUGUCUGAAUAUGGGGGGACCAUCCUCCAAGGCUAAAUACUCCUGACUGACCGAUAGUGAACCAGUACCGUGAGGGAAAGGCGAAAAGAACCCCGGCGAGGGGAGUGAAAAAGAACCUGAAACCGUGUACGUACAAGCAGUGGGAGCACCUUCGGGUGUGACUGCGUACCUUUUGUAUAAUGGGUCAGCGACUUAUAUUCUGUAGCAAGGUUAACCGUAUAGGGGAGCCGCAGGGAAACCGAGUCUUAACUGGGCGUUAAGUUGCAGGGUAUAGACCCGAAACCCGGUGAUCUAGCCAUGGGCAGGUUGAAGGUUGGGUAACACUAACUGGAGGACCGAACCGACUAAUGUUGAAAAAUUAGCGGAUGACUUGUGGCUGGGGGUGAAAGGCCAAUCAAACCGGGAGAUAGCUGGUUCUCCCCGAAAGCUAUUUAGGUAGCGCCUCGUGAACUCAUCUUCGGGGG